rnacentral:tRNA from 1 species
GUCUAUAUAGCUCAGUUGGAUAGAGCACUUUCCUCCGAAGAAAGAGGUCAUCAGUUCGAUUCUGAUUAUAGGCACCA